GGGGGGGGGGGGGGGGGGGGGGAGCGGGGGGAGGGGGAGGGGGAAGGCGCUGCUCGGGUGGGGUGCUCGAGUGGCGAACGGGUGAGUAACACGUGAGUAACCUGCCCUUGACUUUGGGAUAACUUCCGGAAACUGGGGCUAAUACCGGAUCGGCGCUCCUGCUGCAAGGUGGGGGCUGGAAAGGUUCGGCGGUUGGGGAUGGACCCGCUGCUUAUCAGCGUGUGGUUGGGGGAGUGGCUUACCAAGGCUUUGACGGGUAGCCGGCCUGAGAAGGUGACCGGCCGCGUUGGGACUGGGAUACGGCCCAGACGCCUACGGGAGGCAGCAGUGGGGAAUAUUGCAAAAUGGGCGGAAGCAUGCUGCAGCAACGCCGCGUGGGGGAAGACGGCCUUCGGGUUGAGAACCGCUUUCGCGUGUAACGAAGCGUGAGUGACGGUAAUGGGUAAAGAAGCACCGGCUAACUAGGU
rnacentral:rRNA from 1 species